AUACGGAGGGUGCAAGCGUUAUUCGGAAUCACUGGGCGUAAAGGACGCGUAGGCGGGUUGGCAAGUCAGAUGUGAAAUCCUACAGCUUAACUGUAGAACUGCAUUUGAAACUGCUAACCUAGAGUAUGAGAGGGGGAGAUGGAAUUAGUGGUGUAGGGGUAAAAUCCGUAGAUAUCACUAGGAAUACCGAAAGCGAAGGCGAUCUCCUGGAACAUAACUGACGCUAAGGCGUGAAAGCGUGGGGAGCAAACAGGAUUAGAAACCCGUGUAGUCC
rnacentral:rRNA from 1 species